UUGUACUCCUGCUCUGCUUCCAAGUCGAAUACUAUUGGGAAAGUUCGUUUCGUUUAUAGACUGGUUCUGGCUUGAGCUUCAAGGUAUAACAUGUAUGUAUUAACAAAAUGAAGAAGUUAACGCAUAGUUCCGUGAAACACUAGGGAUAGGUUUGCAGAGUUGUCUUUCUCAAAGGACAUGUUGACCAACCUUAAUAAAGUUUCAAUAUUGGAAUUUGCUAGGUAGAUUCGUGGUGGAGGAUUACGGUAUUUUUGUUAGACUUGGCUAUAUUUUUGUUGGCAAUACUUGAGGGAUUAUCUUUGUUUUUUUUCCUUUGGUUGACAUUUAGAUAUAAACUUAUUGAAAUGUGCUUGUGCCGGAUAACAUUUGUACGCACGUGUACAAACUCUCACACGGGAUGUGUGGAUGCCAUUUAUCGUGCGGGAAGUCCCAUGAGAAAAAAUGUGUGUUGGUAGCAUUAUUGUUGAUACGUGAUGGAAAAAACGAUGCUGCCUCAGUACUAGAGCACCUUCACUAUUUUAGCAAAACAUAAUAGUUGUCACUGACAAAAUUAAGCAAGAGUAUACCGGACCCUAUUUGGGAUCCCUUUGUUUAUUGAACUUUUUGGUUUACAAGUUAAA
rnacentral:lncRNA from 1 species